UGGCGGGUGGCGACCCGGCACACCGCCGAUCUGCUGGAGGCGGAGCACUGGUGGCUGGACCCACCCGGGCCGGUUCCGGUCCAGCACCUGCUGG
rnacentral:tRNA from 1 species